UCAUCCUGCCCUCCCAGGUGCUGGGGGCCCAGUCAGGAGGGGCUCAGGUCUGCAGAGGCCGUCUCUCACCCAGCCCCUGUUUCGUUCGGCGUUGCGGGCUCAGGCCGCUGCCUCUGUCACAGACCUGCACACAGAACCCCAGCUGGCUUUGAGAGGACUCCAGGUGUCUCCGCCGUGUCUACACCUGGUUUGUGUUAUCUACCCAGAACGCAAGAAUAUUCAGAGGCACUCUGCAGCCCACAGGGUAAGACCCAAACUCCAACAUGAUGCGUGAGCCCUUGAUGCCAGGUGCCGGAGCACCUUUGCUGCCUGUGUCUACUGAGCCUCUGCCCCUGCACCCAGCCACCUUCACACACACACUCCUGCUGUGCAGCACCUGCCUCUGGAAUUGCUCUGCCCCCGUCUUUACCACUAAAUCUGCAGCGUCUAUUGCUGGCCAUACUCUCC
rnacentral:lncRNA from 1 species